CUAUGACUAAUGUUGUCAUGGCGGAAGGAG
rnacentral:ncRNA from 1 species